AUGCAAGUCGAGCGAAUGGAUUGAGAGCUUGCUCUCAAGAAGUUAGCGGCGGACGGGUGAGUAACACGUGGGUAACCUGCCCAUAAGACUGGGAUAACUCCGGGAAACCGGGGCUAAUACCGGAUAACAUUUUGAACUGCAUGGUUCGAAAUUGAAAGGCGGCUUCGGCUGUCACUUAUGGAUGGACCCGCGUCGCAUUAGCUAGUUGGUGAGGUAACGGCUCACCAAGGCAACGAUGCGUAGCCGACCUGAGAGGGUGAUCGGCCACACUGGGACUGAGACACGGCCCAGACUCCUACGGGAGGCAGCAGUAGGGAAUCUUCCGCAAUGGACGAAAGUCUGACGGAGCAACGCCGCGUGAGUGAUGAAGGCUUUCGGGUCGUAAAACUCUGUUGUUAGGGAAGAACAAGUGCUAGUUGAAUAAGCUGGCACCUUGACGGUACCUAACCAGAAAGCCACGGCUAACUACGUGCCAGCAGCCGCGGUAAUACGUAGGUGGCAAGCGUUAUCCGGAAUUAUUGGGCGUAAAGCGCGCGCAGGUGGUUUCUUAAGUCUGAUGUGAAAGCCCACGGCUCAACCGUGGAGGGUCAUUGGAAACUGGGAGACUUGAGUGCAGAAGAGGAAAGUGGAAUUCCAUGUGUAGCGGUGAAAUGCGUAGAGAUAUGGAGGAAC
rnacentral:rRNA from 1 species